AUUGAACUCUGGCGGCAGGCCUAACCAAUGCAAGUCGAACGAGUGGCGGACGGGUGAGUAAUGUCUGGGACACUGCCUGAUGUCGGGGGAUAACUACUGGAAACGGUAGUUAAUACCGCAUACCAUCGGAUGUGCCCAGAUGGGAUUAUCUAGUGGGUGGGGUAACGGCGCACCGAGGCGACGCUCCCUAGCUGGUCUGAGAGGAUGACCAGCCAAACGGGAACGGAGACACGGUCCAGACGCCGACGAGAGGCAGCAGUGGGGAAUAUUGCACAAGGGGCGCAAGCCGGAUGCAGCCAUGCCGCGUGUAUGAAGAAGGCCUUCGGGUGGUAAAGUACUUUCAGCGGGGAGGCGUUACCCGCAGAAGAAGCACCGGCUAACUCCGUGCCAGCAGCCGCGGUAAUUC
rnacentral:rRNA from 1 species